GACGAACGCUGGCGGCGUGCCUAACACAUGCAAGUCGAACGCAGUGGGGACGGGUGAGUAACACGUGGGUAACCUCCCAUCAGAGGGGAUAACACUUGGAAACAGGUGCUAAACCGAUACUGAUGUAUCGACCCGCGGUGUAUGAGCGAGUUGGUGAGGUAACGGCUCACCAAGGCCACGAUGCAUAGCCGACCUGAGAGGAUGAUCAGCCACACUGGGACUGAGACACGGCCCAGACUCCGACGGGAGGCAGCAGUGGGGAAUCUUCGGCAAUGGACGAAAGUCUGACCGAGCAACGCCGCGUGAAUGAAGAAGGUUUUCGGAUCGUAAAGCUCUGUUGUUGGGGAGGCGUUAUCUGACCAAAAAGCCACGGCUAACUACGUGCCAGCAGCCGCGGUAAUAC
rnacentral:rRNA from 1 species